rnacentral:rRNA from 1 species
AACCCUUGUCUUUAAUUGCCAGCAUUCAGUUGGGUCACUUUAAAGAGGACUGCCGGUGUUAAGCCGGAGGAAGUGGGAUGACGUCAAGUCCUCAUGGCCUUUAUGCCCAGGGCUACACACGUGCUACAAUGGGUGGUACAAAGAGAUGCCAACUCGCGAGAGCGCGCCAAUCUCAGAAAGCCAUCCUCAGUUCGGAUUGGAGUCUGCAACUCGACUCCAUGAAGUUGGAAUCGCUAGUAAUCGCGGAUCAGCACGCCGCGGUGAAUACGUUCCCGGGCCUU